rnacentral:rRNA from 1 species
GACGAACGCUGGCGGCGUGCUUAACACAUGCAAGUCGAACGGAAAGGCCCUGCUUUUGUGGGGUGCUCGAGUGGCGAACGGGUGAGUAACACGUGAGUAACCUGCCCUUGACUUUGGGAUAACUUCAGGCAACUGGGGCUAAUACCUGAUAGGAGCUCCUGCUGCAUGGUGGGGGUUGGAACGUUUCGGCGGUUGGGGAUGGACUCGCGGCUUAUUAGCUUGUUGGUGGGGUAGUGGCUUACCAAGGCUUUGACGGGUAGCCGGCCUGAGAGGGUGAACGGCCACAUUGGGACUGAGAGACGGCGCAGACUCCUACGGGAGGCAGCAGGCGGGAAUAUUGCACAGUGGGGGGGAGCCUGAUGCAGCAACGCCGCGAGCGGGAUGACGGCCUUGGGGUUGUAAACCGCUUUCGCCUGUGACGAAGCGUGAGUGACGGUAAUGGGUAAAGAAGCACCGGCUAACUACGUG